GCCAUUGGCCGUUAAUUUCGGGCAGCGCCUUGCUUAGUCUCUUCGAGAUGGCUCUGAGCUGACUUUGUAGCUGACAAACCGGUUUAGGGGCAUCCCCCUCUCCAAGGAAGAUCAGAACUGCUUUAAGGAUGCAGGAAAAUCACCGAGGCCCAAGCUGUGGGGAACUGGACACCCCCUCGCUUACCCCAGGAUGCCGUUCCCCUUCCCGAGGGGUCGCCGCCUGCAGGCAGUGGGAGAGCGCCGGACUCAAGGAGCGGGAUGAGCCUGGCGGAGCUGCCCAGCCGGCCCGGCCCCCGUCCCGAGGCGCUGGGGACUGGUCACUGCCCAUGAUCAUCAGUCAAGCCAUAACCAAGAGCAUGGAGGCUGUCUAUUUGUGCACAUGGUCAUCUUCUAGGAAUUAGGAAGCCACCCUUCAGGAGUCCCCAUCACAGUGGGACUAUGCCCGGCUCCUCCUUUUGCAGCCUUUACUGAAGUAUUAGCUAUCUGGAAAAGGAUCUGCUAGUAGGACCUGGGGCUUUUGUUCCCGGUGCCACACACUCCUCUCCCCCUCAAGAUACUCAGUACUGUCCCUUCAGGGAGGAGAUUUGAGCUUUGCUCAGGCAGCAGGAGAAGACCUAGCCCUCACCGGUCUCGGUUCCUUCAAAGGUCAGGGCUCAUAGGAUUCCUCAGUAAAGUGGGCUGGGCAUGAGCAGGAACCCCACUCUAGGCUUUCAUAUCAGUUCAUCUUCUCCCCCUUUGUCCCAGAGCUCAGCUCAGACCCAAAGGCUCUUCCAUUUACCAUCAACAUGGAAAUUUGUCUCUUUACGUGGGUGUAUUCUCCCUCUUUUGUGCAUUAUCUUGUUCCUCAAAACUGCCCUUCCACGAAGGAGGCCUGUGGAGUCAAGGGGCCUGGCCAGACACCCAGAGGUGACUGAGGCCGUCAGACCUCAGAUUGGGUAGACCAAUUUAAUAAAGGCUUUAUGUCCUUGACUGCC